UACGGGGGGGGCAAGCGUUGUUCGGAAUUACUGGGCGUAAAGGGCUCGUAGGUGGCCAACUAAGUCAGACGUGAAAUCCCCAGGCUCAACUUGGGAACUGCGUCUGAUACUGGAUGGCUUGAAUUCGGGAGAGGGAUGCAGAAUUCCAGGUGUAGCGGUGAAAUGCGUAGAUAUCUGGAGGAAUACCGGUGGCGAAGGCGGCAUCCUGGACCGACAUUGACGCUGAUGAGCGAAAGCUAGGGGAGCAAACGGG
rnacentral:rRNA from 1 species